rnacentral:lncRNA from 1 species
CAGGCACGGAGCACACACCACACUCUGCCUCUGUCCAGGCUACAUGGUUACUAGGAGCCCAGGCAGCCAAUCCAGUGUCCCCACACUGAGCAUCCAUUGGGCACAACUCCACUUCCCAGCCAAUCACAGACAACAAUGUUCCAUCAAGUUGAAACAUGAAACCCAAAGGGAGAAGGCAUGUUUCUAGGUAAGAUAUUCUUUCUCUAAUUCAAAGAAAAAGGCUUGGACCAGUAGAAGCAGAGGCACUGUGGUGUAGUAUGUCAUGGAUGAGCCACUUGUCAUAAACCCGUAGAUCCGAACUUGUGGUCAUUUGAACAGCACAAGCUCGUGUCUCUGGGUCUCUGGCUCUGUGGUGUGUCAUACAUCCUUGAUGGCAAUAAAACCUUCUUCUAAAAGCA